CUGCUGGUUAGGCCUAAUUAAACUAAGAGGAUUAACGAAAUACGUCAUAUCCUAUCCCAGCUGCCCGUGCGGCACUACAGUGAAAAGAGGAAAGCGCAGUGGCAGGAAAAGAAAUCAAUCUGAGGUUGGAAAGAGGAAAAGUCUGAGAUUUGAGAAGAGACAACAAAAGGAACAUGAGGGAGCUCCUUAUCUGGUCAGCAGUUUCUACCCCCAACACUCCACGACUGAGUGUGUGUGUGAACAGCGGAGUGUCAAGUGAGCUGUGAGCCUUGAAGCCUGGAUGUCGACCUACUGCCAAUUAUAACAGAGGACAUGUGAAGACAUUACAAACUGUGUAUCCUGCAAACUGUUUAUUUGUGCUUUUAUAUUCUUUUAAACAGUAGUUUGUAAAUCAGUUGCUUUUUAGACUCAUGACAAAGUUUUGCUGGCAGCUCAGGAUAUUAUAAUUAACAGAUUUACAUUGAUCCCCUG